rnacentral:rRNA from 1 species
AGCAGCCGCGGUAAUUCCAGCUCCAAUAGCGUAUAUUAAAGUUGUUGCAGUUAAAAAGCUCGUAGUUGAAUUUUGGGUUUGGCCGAUUGGUCCGUUCUUGUAACGAGUACUGGUCGGUUGGGCCUCACCGCUUGGUGAUGCGCAAUGCCCUUUAUUGGGUGUUGCGAGUAGCCAAGACCUUUACCUUGAAAAAAUUAGAGUGUUUAAAGCAGGCAUAUGCCGGAAUACAUUAGCAUGGAAUAAUAGAAUAGGACAACGAUUCUAUUUUGUUGGUUUCUAGGACCGUUGUAAUGAUUAAUAGGGAUAGUUGGGGGCAUUAGUAUUCAAUUGUCAGAGGUGAAAUUCUUGGAUUUAUUGAAGACUAACUACUGCGAAAGCAUUUGCCAAGGAUGUUUUCAUUAAUCAAGAACGAAAGUUAGGGGAUCGAAGACGAUCAAAUACCGUCGUAGUCUUAACCAUAAACUAUGCCGACUAGGGAUCGGGCGAAGUUGUUUCAAUGACUCGCUCGGCACCUUAUGGG